UACGUAGGUGGCGAGCGUUGUCCGGAUUUACUGGGCGUAAAGAGCGCGCAGGCGGUCGUACAAGUCGCGUGUGAAAGCCCCCGGCUCAACUGGGGAGGGUCACGCGAUACUGUUCGACUCGAAGGCAGGAGAGGGUAGUGGAAUUCCAGGUGUAGCGGUGAAAUGCGUAGAUAUCUGGAGGAACACCGGUGGCGAAGGCGGCAUCCUGGACCAACACUGACGCUGAGGAGCGAAAGCCAGGGGAGCAAACGGG
rnacentral:rRNA from 1 species